ACGUAGGGGACAAGCGUUGUCCGGAAUCACUGGGCGUAAAGGGCGCGCAGGCGGUGAUUUAAGCAGGAUGUGAAAGGCUACGGCUCAACCGUAGACAUGCACCCUGAACUGGGUCACUUGAGUAUUGGAGAGGCAGGCAGAAUUCCUGGUGUAGCGGUGAAAUGCGUAGAUAUCAGGAGGAAUACCGGAGGCGAAGGCGGCCUGCUGGACAAAUACUGACGCUGAGGCGCGAAAGCGUGGGGAGCAAACAG
rnacentral:rRNA from 1 species